rnacentral:rRNA from 1 species
AUGGCGCGCACUACAAAAGAUCUGAAGAUCUGGAGCUCCUCCCUUUUCAGCGAUGCCAAGAUACAGUUCCACAUAGCAACAGAAAUCAUCCUGCGCCUCGACAUAGCCCAGGAAUCCCGCAGCCUCUCCGCAGCGGAAUUCAACCUUCGACGACUGCUCAAGCUCAGACUGCUUGGCCUCGCCGCGAUCGAGCGAGCGCGCAAGCGUCAGGCCUCCCGACUGACUUGGCUCAAGCUAGGCGACGCGGGAACCAAAUUUUUCCAUGCAAAGUUUCGCUCACGCCGAAGUAAGAACUACAUCCACAGCCUACUGACGAACGACGGGGUCGCCACGUCACACGAAGAAAAGGAAACAGCCAUCUUCGAGCACUUCAACUCCAUCCUCGGCUCCAAAGAGACUCGAUCAACAACCAUCAACUGGAGCCAACUUCAACUGCCCACAAUCAGAGGAGGAGGCCUAGAUAAC